AUUUUUGGAUAAUCGCACGAAGCGAGUGACUUCGUGAGGAAAGUCCAUGCUAGCACUGGCUGUGAUGCCAGUAGUGUUUGUGCUAGACGAAUGCAUAAGUCUAGGCACGUACAAUGUGCGUGACGGCAGUCGAAAAGGCUAAGUCUUUGGAUAGGCUUGAUUAGACUUGAAAGUGCCACAGUGACGAAGUUUUUGUGGAAACGCAAAAAGUGGAACGCGGUAAACCCCUCAAGCUAGCAACCCAAACUUUGGUAGGGGCAUGGGAUGGCCAGAACCGAAUGGACUAUCCUGACUGCAUCAGCAGUAGACAGAUGAUUAUACAGAGAAGCAAGAACCUAGUUGCUUCUUGGACAAAACAUGGCUUAUAGAA
rnacentral:RNase_P_RNA from 1 species